rnacentral:rRNA from 1 species
AUUGAACGCUGGCGGCAGGCCUAACACAUGCAAGUCGAGCGAGCGGCGGACGGGUGAGUAAUGUCUGUGAAACUGCCUGAUGGAGGGGGAUAACUCCUGGAAACGGUAGCUAAUACCCCAUACCAUCAGAUCUGCCCAGAUGUGAUUAGCUAGUAGGUGUGGUAACGGCUCACCAAGGCGACGAUCCCUAGCUGGUCUGAGAGGAUGACCAGCCACACUGGAACUGAGACACGGGCCAGACUCCUACGGGAGGCAGCAGUGGGGAAUAUUGCACAAUGGGCGCAAGCCUGAUGCAGCCAUGCCGCGUGUGUGAAGAAGGCCUUCGGGUUGUAAAGCACUUUCAGCGGGGAGGCGUUACCCGCAGAAGAAGCACCGGCUAACUCCGUGCCAGCAGCCGCGGUAAUAC